AGAGUUUGAUCAUGGCUCAGGACGAACGCUGGCGGCGUGCCUAACACAUGCAAGUCGAGCGGGAACCUCAGGAGGGGUAACCCUUCUGAGGGGAGAGCGGCGAACGGGUGAGUAACACGUGGGCAACCUGCCCCGGACACCGGGAUAACCCAGGGAAACCUGAGCUAAUACCGGAUACUCCGGCGUGAUCGCAUGGUCGCGCCGGGAAAGCUCCGACGGUCCGGGAUGGGCCCGCGGCCUAUCAGCUUGUUGGUGGGGUAACGGCCCACCAAGGCGACGACGGGUAGCUGGUCUGAGAGGACGGCCAGCCACACUGGGACUGAGACACGGCCCAGACUCCUACGGGAGGCAGCAGUGGGGGAUCUUGCGCUAAUGCGCGAAAGCGUGACGCAGCGACGCCGCGUGGGGGAUGAAGGCCUUCGGGUUGUAAACCCCUUUCGGCAGGGACGAAGGGAAACUGACGGUACCUGCAGAAGAAGUCCCGGCUAACUACGUGCCAGCAGCCGCGGUA
rnacentral:rRNA from 1 species